rnacentral:rRNA from 1 species
AUGCCCCUGAUCAACCAGAUCAUCCACUGUGACCAAACUGGCUUUAUCCGGGGUCGCGGGAUUGCCGAGAACUUUGUUCAUGCAGCCGAUGUUAUCCAAACAUGCUUCAAACGACGCACGCCGGCUAUUGUUCUCAAACUAGACUUUCAUAAAGCCUUUGAUUCGGUAUCUUGGACCGCCUUGUCAUUGAUUAUGCGUGCCAAAGGUUUCCCCCCCUCUUGGUGUCGUUGGGUAGAGCUCUUGAAUUCAUCGGCCAGCUCUGCUGUUUUGCUAAAUGGGAAGCCCGGCCCCUGGUUCCAGUGCCGAAAGGGCCUUCGACAAGGCGACUCUCUGUAA